rnacentral:rRNA from 1 species
AGAGUUUGAUCCUGGCUCAGGAUGAACGCUAGCGACAGGCCUAACACAUGCAAGUCGAGGGGCAUCGGGGCGAGGAGCAAUCCUUGCCGCCGGCGACCGGCGCACGGGUGAGUAACGCGUAUGCGACCUGCCCGUUGCAGGGGGAUAAUCGGGAGAAAUCCCGUCUAAUACCGCGUAAUGCCGCGGGGCUGCAUGGCCCUGGGGCCAAAGGAAGCGAUUCCGGCAACGGAUGGGCAUGCGUGACAUUAGCUAGUUGGCGGGGCAACGGCCCACCAAGGCGACGAUGUCUAGGGGUUCUGAGAGGAAGGUCCCCCACGCUGGUACUGAGACACGGACCAGACUCCUACGGGAGGCAGCAGUGAGGAAUAUUGGUCAAUGGGCGCGAGCCUGAACCAGCCAAGUCGCGUGAGGGAUGACGGCCCUACGGGUUGUAAACCUCUUUUGUCGGGGAGCAAAUUCCGCCACGCGUGGCGGAGUCGAGAGUACCCGAAGAAAAAGCAUCGGCUAACUCCGUGCCAGCAGCCGCGGUAAUACGGAGGAUGCGAGCGUUAUCCGGAUUUAUUGGGUUUAAAGGGUGCGUAGGCGGACUGUCAAGUCAGCGGUAAAAUACGGGGGCUCAACCUCCGCCCGCCGUUGAAACUGACGGUCUUGAGUGGGCGAGAAGUAUGCGGAAUGCGUGGUGUAGCGGUGAAAUGCAUAGAUAUCACGCAGAACUCCGAUUGCGAAGGCAGCAUACCGGCGCCCAACUGACGCUGAAGCACGAAAGCGUGGGUAUCGAACAGGAUUAGAUACCCUGGUAGUCCACGCAGUAAACGAUGAAUACUAGCUGUCCGGGGCGAAUGGGCCCUGGGUGGCACAGCGAAAGCGUUAAGUAUUCCACCUGGGGAGUACGCCGGCAACGGUGAAACUCAAAGGAAUUGACGGGGGCCCGCACAAGCGGAGGAACAUGUGGUUUAAUUCGAUGAUACGCGAGGAACCUUACCCGGGCUCAAACGACACAGGAAUACUUUUGAAAGGAGGUAGCCAGCAAUGGUCUGUGUCGAGGUGCUGCAUGGUUGUCGUCAGCUCGUGCCGUGAGGUGUCGGCUUAAGUGCCAUAACGAGCGCAACCCCUACCGCCAGUUGCCAGCAGGUAAAGCUGGGGACUCUGUGGAGACUGCCGGUGCAAGCUGCGAGGAAGGCGGGGAUGACGUCAAAUCAGCACGGCCCUUACGUCCGGGGCGACACACGUGUUACAAUGGCAGGUACAGCGGGAUGCCACGGGGCGACCCGGCGCGGAACCCGAAAACCUGUCUCAGUUCGGAUUGGAGUCUGCAACCCGACUCCAUGAAGCUGGAUUCGCUAGUAAUCGCGCAUCAGCCACGGCGCGGUGAAUACGUUCCCGGGCCUUGUACACACCGCCCGUCA